AACGAACGCUGGCGGCAUGCCUAACACAUGCAAGUCGAACGAUCCCUUCGGGGAUAGUGGCGCACGGGUGCGUAACGCGUGGGAAUCUGCCCUUGGGUUCGGAAUAACAGUGAGAAAUUACUGCUAAUACCGGAUGAUGUCUUCGGACCAAAGAUUUAUCGCCCAAGGAUGAGCCCGCGUAGGAUUAGCUAGUUGGCGGGGUAACGGCCCACCAAGGCGACGAUCAGUAGCCGAACUGAGAGGUUGAUCGGCCACAUUGGGACUGAGACACGGCCCAGACUCCUACGGGAGGCAGCAGUGGGGGAUAUUGCACAAUGGGCGCAAGCCUGAUGCAGCAACGCCGCGUGAGGGAAGAAGGUCUUCGGAUUGUAAACCUUUGUCUUAUGGGACGAAACAAAUGACGGUACCAUAGGAGGAAGCCACGGCUAACUACGUG
rnacentral:rRNA from 1 species